AGGAAGGAAAAGGAGAAGGAGAAGGAGAAGGACGAAGGAAGUCGGGCGUGCGGUGUGCACGACCGAAAAAGCAAAAUUGCGCGCAGUGCUGAACUCACGAUGUGCGAUGCUGGGCGGGGCGGCGCACAACGCACGGUGCGGGAUGCACGAUGUUUGACGCGCUGUGUCCGGCGUGCGGCGUGUAUUGCUGAGGAAAAAGAAGCAAAAUGCGUGUUGGGUGGACUUGAUCCGCGUGAAGCAGACCACGACGUGGUGUUCCAGAUCUGUUCAAAGAUCCGUGCAAUGCUAAAAAUCAGGGACCCGAAUAGAGAGACUGAAAUCGCACUCUUUCGGAUAAAAAGCCCAAAAUUGACACCGAUUUUGGUAAAUUUUCUUCCACCUUAUAUUCAUUUAUUACUUUAAAUUAAAUUCUUAAUCAUGUCUAUGAAAAUCUUCGGAAAAUUAUGAAUAUGAAACUGAAAAGGGAGGCGACUGUAUGGAACCAAAGUCGUGCGAAAGCUUUGCUAUUUCUUCUUUAAUUGGAGAUCCUUGUAAGAAUUAAAUUAGUUUUCAUUCAAGGAUUUCAUGUUUUCAUAAAAUGAUUUAUUGAUUUCAAAAUUAUUAAUUUAAAAGUUUGAUAGAUGAUUUAAGUAUUAUCCUGAAAGGUAUUUUGCAAAGUUUCAUAUAUAUGUGAGUGAGUGUGUAUUGAGCAUCGGUGUCGUAUAGGGUAUAUGUAUAAUAAUAUAGAUACAAAAUGUCGUGCGUGAAUGAAUAGGUAAAAAUAUAGUAUACAUAGGUUGUUGUUUAUUUAACGUAUAAGAUUCCAUGCAUAAAAAGUAAAUGGAUUCUAGGGCAUAUUUACGUAUGUAGCUAUAUAUAUAUGAGUAUGUAAUAUGUUGAUACAUAGGAAACUAUACAAAAAUGUAUAUAUAUAUAUAUAUAUGUAUAUUGGCAUGACCGUAAAUACAAAAAUCCGUAUGUGUGUAGGUGUAAAAUAAUGUAGGUAGUUUCGUAGGUGUAGAAACCGCUUAUAUGCAUAUUUGAAGUGAGAAUAUAGAUGUAUAUAUUUUGUAUGAGUAUAAGUAGUUUAUGUGUGUUAAAUCAUAAUUAGAUAAAAUAUGUAUAUUGUAAGAAAGUAUAUAUAUGUACAUAAUUAGAAUAGGUUUAUGGUUAAAUAUAAUGGUAACAAGAUAAAUUUAAGUAAGCAAUGUGUGUAGAUAUGGAUUACAGUUGCUCGUUGCUUACUUAGUACGUUGGGUGUAUGUUCAAUAUGAUAUAAACUGUAUAUGUUGGACAUACAUGUAUGCAUGUGAUUGCUUGCUCAAAUGAUUUUGUGUGAGUAAUUUGUUGUUAUGUAUACUCAUUAUGAGUGGAAUGAGUACGCAUAUCAGUUAUGUAAAUAGAUGUGUGAGAGUGAUGAGAUUGGUUAUUGGUUGUGUGAGUGAGAAUAUAAAUUGAUACUAUUGUCGAAUGUUAAUUUUCCUUCAAAUAUAUAAAUAUAAUAUUUUGGUAGAAAAAGAAUAAAAUAUCAAGAAUAUUUGGGUUUCUAAAAUUAGGAUAUGAAAUAGAAACAAUUUUUGAAGAAGAAAAAGCUCACCGGGUAUCAUGGAAGAUAGUGUACGGACUUGGUACAUAGAGUGAACCCUACUGUGGAUGAGUUCUCAGUCGUAUGGGGUUGGGAAGUCCCAUACCGAACAUGGUUAGCAAUUGAUUUAAUUACGUUCAUAUCGGACGGGGUAUUGAAACAAUUUAUAAUUAUGGCGUUCAUUACCGGACGGGGUAUGAAAACGGCCAAUGAACUGUAAAAAAAAUGUUUAUACAUCCGCGUGUAGUAAAAAUCCCUAUGGGCCCCCAGUGAUAUCGGUAAGGAAAAUAACAAUAUAUAAUAGAAAUGGAGAUGAUCUGGAUAUGUAUCUAGUGUAGUUGAUAGUAUUUGUGAAUGAAACAAAAUUAUUUAAUUACGAAUCCAAUAAGAUAUGAUGAUAUUUAUUAAUGAGAAUAAUAUGUACGGUACCUAGAUAUAAAUAUGUUGGAAUGGGUAAUGAAAAGGAUGUGGUUUUUAAUCAUUUCUUUUGUUAUACUUGUGAAAAUGAUGAUGAGUAAGGUUAUUUUGCAAAUUAGAUUUCUAUAAAUAUGAAAUUUACAUUGGUUUUAUCAAGCUUGUAUGAAUGAAUGUUUGCAUAUCUCUACUUUGAACACUACUUUAUUCUUACUAAAUCUGUGAUGCUCAUCCUAAUUCACAUCCCCCUCCUAGUGCAGAUUAGUUAAGGUCAGGAGGGAGUUCAAGAUCAAAGGAAGAUUUCGAAGAAUUCUUUAGCUAUCUUAGACGUUUAUUGUAAAGUAGAUCUGAAUGUAUUAUUAUUAUGAAAUUUCUAAAGAUUGUUGUGAGUCUCAUGAAUUAUGAUUCCGUACAAGGGAUGUAUUGUUGAUUUCUACAGAUAAACAUAAUGUUACGC
rnacentral:lncRNA from 1 species